rnacentral:rRNA from 1 species
UACGAAGGGGGCUAGCGUUGCUCGGAAUCACUGGGCGUAAAGGGUGCGUAGGCGGGUCUUUAAGUCAGGGGUGAAAUCCUGGAGCUCAACUCCAGAACUGCCUUUGAUACUGAGGAUCUUGAGUUCGGGAGAGGUGAGUGGAACUGCGAGUGUAGAGGUGAAAUUCGUAGAUAUUCGCAAGAACACCAGUGGCGAAGGCGGCUCACUGGCCCCGAUACUGACGCUGAGGCACGAAAGCGUGGGGAGCAAACAAGGG